rnacentral:rRNA from 1 species
GUCUAUGACCAAAUCACUCCCAACAUACCCAACCUCACAGGGUCUGAGAAGCUAAGCAGGAUUGGGCCUGGUUAGUACUUGGAUGGGAGAUGCUUUAGUUGGGGGUUCCUGUGAAGGCAGAGCCUAAGACA